CAGCAGCCGCGGUAAUACGUAGGGUGCAAGCGUUAAUCGGAAUUACUGGGCGUAAAGCGUUCGCAGGCGGUUAUAUAAGACAGAUGUGAAAUCCCCGGGCUCAACCUGGGAACUGCAUUUGUGACUGUAUAGCUAGAGUACGGCAGAGGGGGAUGGAAUUCCGCGUGUAGCAGUGAAAUGCGUAGAUAUGCGGAGGAACACCGAUGGCGAAGGCAAUCCCCUGGGCCUGUACUGACGCUCAUGCACGAAAGCGUGGGGAGCAAACAGGAUUAGAUACCCCUGUAGUCCCUGUCUCUUAUAC
rnacentral:rRNA from 1 species